GAAGGGAGGCCCUUUGGUGUAUAAUGAGACAGGGAAACUUGAUCUAAUACCGUAUGUGCCCUUCGGGGGAAAGAUUUAUCGCCAUUGGAGCGGCCCGCGUCUGAUUAUCUAGUUGGUGGUGUAAUGGACCACCAAGGCGACGAUCAGUAGCUGGUCUGAGAGGAUGAUCAGCCACAUUGGGACUGAGACACGGCCCAAACUCCUACGGGAGGCAGCAGUGGGGAAUCUUGCGCAAUGGGCGAAAGCCUGACGCAGCCAUGCCGCGUGAAUGAUGAAGGUCUUAGGAUUGUAAAAUUCUUU
rnacentral:rRNA from 1 species